UCAGGUGACCAGAGAAUUGGAGCUUCAGCUACAUUGAAUCAUUUAUCCAUUCUUUUUCUAAAAAACAUGCUAAUAAACAGCUUCAGACAUGUACAGAGGUUGUGGUUCCCCCAUGCAUAACUAACACUUGGUGACAUAAAUUAACUACUUGGCAGUCUUAGUUCAUCUGUAAACAUGUACUAUAUAUGAUUUUUUAAAAUAAUUUUUUGAUCAUGACAAAAGAAAAAGUGCACGUAAGAUUUUCAGUCAUUACACAUGUUUGAAAUCAGUUUGAACAUAAUUUUAAGACUACUUGUAUGAGUUUAGGACCUGGACAAUUUUUUUUAACUGCUAAGAGAUUACAAGUAUAUUGAAGAGUUUGUUGAUUUACAAAGACAUUUUCUAUGAUUUCAACUAUUUACAUAAGUGAUCUGAUUGUUUACUCUAGGUGUGUUUUCACUUACCGGCUGGCAUAGUGAAUCCAACACAGUUCCUGAACUAAGGAGUGCAGUGACAGAGACUCCCCUGAUCAGGCUCUGUCCAAGGGCCAGGGUUUGUGGGUGGAGGCGUUGGGAUGUCUUGGGGGUAGUAUACUGAUUCCUUCUUGGAAUAGAAUGGCUUCUCUGCCCUGGGCCAGAAUGUGGCCUGGUAAUCCUGGAGGACUGCUCGGGCUCCACCUUAGGUGGAUAGAGCGGGAUCACCAGCCCUCAGACUUUCAUGUGAACCCAGUGAUUGUGCUGUGGGGUUCAUUUGACGGCCACCCUCAUUUAAUAAGAAUUAUAGGCUCUGUUGAAAUUCUAAAGUCUUACAGAAAUAUAUGGAUUACAUUUAAGUUGAUUUUAAUCAUUCAGUUAUCUCAUGGGAAGAUAUUGAAGACCUUUGACUUAAGAUAGGUCAUACAUGUAUAAACAGGUUUGGUUAUGUGAGGGGCGACCAUAUUCCCCAGUUCACACCUUGUCUCUUGACAGUGGUCCAGUUUGAAAUUAUGGAAUUACUCUCUAUGGGCUAAAUGUUUUCAGUUAAAAAUUAAGAAUUUAAAGUUAUAUUGAAUAAUUUGCAACCAAAAUGUUUUCCCUUAUGAAAAGUUUGGGGUAAAAAAAUAAGUUUAAUCCAUAAAUAGAAUUGUGAGGUGUCUUAUAUAAAUAGCAGAAUAUUCAUUUAUGUAAUCAUGGAAAUUUGCAUGCCAAUCCAGAUUUAGAGUUAGAGGCUCAAGGUUUUUGUUUGACCCUGGAAGGGAAACAAUAGCUAUGUUUUUUUUGAAAUUUUAGAAUAUUCUAUUGCCUGGUAUUCUUUUCGUAUUUCAACUUAAUUGCCUUUUAAAAGUAAGAGAUCCUUUUGAUGAGGUUUGGAUCUGUGUUUUCAUAAAAUUAAUAUUAAACUGAGUAUGCUAACAUUUAAAACAAAUGGAUGGUUAUACUUCUUAAACCUGCAAAUUUGGUAAUUCCUUAUAAGUUUCUAUUUUAAGAAAGUUUAUAUUAAAAUAGUGGUGGUGAGGCUUGACUAACUGAACUGCCACGUGUUUGUGAUGUGUCACUAUACUAGGUUAUCGUUUCUUAGAUAAGGGUAGUCAUGUUUACAGUGCCCCGGUUUGUAGGUUUUGUGGCAAGGGAAAAGUAGGAUCUAACAACAGUUAGUGGCUGUAACAGCCGAGAAGGCUUGGAGUAGAUCACGUCCUGGGCGCUUCUGUGCUGCGCCCCCCUUCACGGCUGCCUCUCAGGUAGGCCCUGCUUAUGGGUGUUGAAGCUGAGGUUGCGCAGCUAGGAAAUGAUGGCAGCGGUUUUCAAACCCAGGCCAAACCAGAUUACUGUCUGUGUGCUUUGUGUUCAGUGUUGAGUUCUGGCUUGGUGUUGUUUUGACCUUGAAGUAUUUUCCAUUUUUUAAACUCAUUGUCUGUUUUUCUUUCCUUGAUUUAGCACCUUCUCAGGGUACGGGGAAUGUUCUGUUGUGUUUAAUUUUAACUGCUUUGUCAUCGCGUCACCCGGAAUAGGAUGUCUGUAUCAGUCUGGUGUCACGUUGGAGUGGUGGCGUCCUGUGGGGAGGUGAACCUCUUUGACCUCUGUCCUGCAGGAGGGCGUUUGUCCAUUACCAGAUGUUUAUCGUCGGCUGCCGUUUCAGUCCUUGAGACUGCUGCACGUGCAGCAGCCGGUUGAAAUGAGCGGUGGGAGUGGCAGCAGGAAGUGAAGUGGGCGGUGGAGGUGGUGGGGAAAGGCCACCAGCGUCUGAAUUGGAAAUCUGCAAGGAUGUUCAUCUGAAAUGGAAUCAAAGGAUACGAAUGGGAAACUCGUGCUUGCGCCCUCAGGAAGAUGACGGUUCCAGACUAUGAGACCGACUUCCCGAAAUUGCCAGUUCGCAGAAGAUUGAGCCUUGUGCUCUAACCAGCCGGCAUCUGCCAGCAUUCUCUGUCCAUCUUCGGUCAGGGAGCUUGCUGCACGGCUCCUCGCCGGAUUUUCCCCUCUUGCACUCUGUGCCCACAGAAGCAGCCUGCCCUCAACCUGCAGACUCACCUGUCGCUCACUUGAGUUUGUGUGUUCCAUAUGCAGUUCUGCUCUCGCAAAUAAACUCGGUUUCUGGUAACUUGA